rnacentral:lncRNA from 1 species
GUCAUGAAAAUAUUGGAAGAUCUUCUCAUUGACAAUCAUAUUGUUUUUAGAAGUAUAUAUCCCAUAUAUGGGUAAUAGAUAACAUCUAACGAACUAAAUCUUAUUCAAGUUCGUUCUUCUCCUAAUGGAGAAAUACAUUAUCUUUUGAUGCUAUUUUCCUUGAUAUCUUUCAAGGAAACUUAUCUAAAGUGUUACCUUUCCUUGGAUCAAAUCUAAGGAGGUAAAUACUUUAGAUGUCUUACUCAUCAACUUACAUUGCUUGAAUUCUUUGAAACAUUUUACAAAGUAUUCAGACUUGUGUUUAUUCAAAAUAAACUAUAGUCCAACCGAGAGUGAUCUUCGGUGAAUGUCAUCCAACAUGAGUAGUAUUAUGUUUGUGGACAAGUGCCACUAACAUCUAAGUAAAUUAACCUCAACAACUUUGUGAUUCUUUCUUCUUUCCAAAAGAAUAAAGAUUCGAACAUUUCGCCUCUAUACAAUUUUAACAAGAAGGUAUUGGAUCCGGAUCUAACGAUCCAAAGCGUCCAUUUAUGACCAACUCGUAAUUUAUGUUUUAGAGGUAUCACAACUUUAGUUGAGAUUAGUCACUUCCUUGCAACCUUUUGGGUUUUAAGCAUCAUUAUUUUCUAAACAGUUAACACUACCAUAUUAUCUCUACUAUAGAGACAAUUAAUUAGAUUACCAUAAUCUAAUCAUUGAUUAAUAAAGAACAUUGUUUUGUCAAACAAAACAUUUAUCCAUUUCACAUAGUGACGGAAUUUAGUUCCUUAAAAUUGGAAUACAAAGACAAUCUAUGUUUUUCCAAUUUCUUUGGUUGUUCAUAUGAGGAAGUAAGUACCAUCUGCUUUCGCAGAGAUCUACAUUUGAUUCACGCUUCGAAUGUGAAGUACUUUCUCUUCUCUCAUUAAUCUUCUACUUCUUAUUAGCCACACUUUUACAACGAUUGUAAAACAUAGUCACUAAUACAGAAUCAAGCAUUCAAGUAGAAGAACCAACUGUUUUGAACUUUUCAAGAACAAUUUACAACACCUUCGAAAGGUGUGUCCUUGACACUUGCAAGACAUUUCUUGCAAAUACCCCUUCCAAUGUCCAUCCUUUCAUAAAGAAAGUUUGUUCCCUUGGAGUUAUUUAUCUUCUUUAUUUGACUUUCACCUUUAACUACAUUAGUCAUGGUCCCUAAACUCCCACUAUCUCUCUUGAAACCUUUUUUUUCAAUUGUGUUAUACACAUCAAACAUUUUGGAGAGAGUGCGGUUAUUGUUCACUACAUAGUUUACAAUAAACUUAGUGAACGAUUAGGAUAGGGAAACAAAGGUGAAGUCCUUGCCUAGUUUCCGUCUCGUUAAGUGGUUUAUCACUUCAACAUUCAAUGAUUCAAAAUCAUCAUAAGUCCAUGUUAAUGGACUAUUUUUGUCAACCAACCAUUAUGUUCUAAACAUAAUUACAAACCUUCAAGAGUUGUACAAGGCAACUCUUAUUUCUUCACACAACAAAUUGUAAGUGAAGAAUCAUGGCACAUAAAGUGUCCAUGCCUUUGUGCUUUCUUCUCAAGUUCUUUGUUCAUUUAACAAAGAAAUAAGCACUAGUGUUUGCAUUGACUAAGAGUUGUUCAAAGCAACUCCUAUUUCUUCAUACAACAAAUUGUAAUUGAAGAAUUAUGACAUUUAAUAGUGUUGUCCUCUUUAUGAUAGACCUUUUCUAACAUAUUCUUCUAAUGAUACAUUAUCAAUAGGAAGAUUGUGAG